AUUGAACGCUGGCGGCAGGCCUAACACAUGCAAGUCGAGCGAGCGGCGGACGGGUGAGUAAUGUCUGGGAAAAUGCCUGAUGGAGGGGGAUAAAUACUGGAAACGGUAGCUAAUACCGCAUACCAUCAGAUGUGCCCAGAUGGGAUUAGCUAGUAGGUGGGGGAACGGCUCACCGAGGCGACGAUCCCUAGAUGUUCUGCGAGGAUGACCAGCCACCCUGGAACUGAGACUCGGUCCAGACUCCUGCGGGAGGCAGCAGUGGGGAAUAUUGCACAAUGGGCGCAAGCCUGAUGCAGCCAUGCCGCGUGUGUGAAGAAGUCUUUCGGGUUGUAAAGCACGUUCAGCGGGGAGGCGUUACCCGCAGAAGAAGCACCGGCUAACUCCGUGCCAGCAGCCGCGGUAAUAC
rnacentral:rRNA from 1 species